rnacentral:lncRNA from 1 species
GGUCAUUCCAUGGGGUUGGGGCAAAAAUUGUGACAUCAGGGUCAAAAAAUAGAAAUGUAAUAAAUGAAAUGUUUUAUUUCUUAUAUGUUUCAUGGGACAAUCCUUCAACUAAAUCCACUUACAGGCAUUUCAUACCACCCUGCAUAUUGGAGUAAACUGAGAAAUAAGAUUUGACAAAAUACCACCGUUACAUGGACAUCAUUUAUCAUCCUUACUAAGACUAUGCUCUCCCACUGUCAAAAUAAAGGGGUUGAUGUCCAUUACUCUUGAUAAAUAUUUUGCUAACAACAUUGUUAGUCACUUUAUUCCACACUUUUCAACAUGGCAUAUAUAUUUUGAAAGAUUUAGCAUCAAUAAAUGGAACUUGAUGCUCUGUGUGUAUACCAGUGCCAUGUUCUGUGUCGUUCUUUUUUCUCACCAGUCUAGAAAAUUGAAUUUAUGAUGGCAUGUAGAACUAAAUAGUUGAGAGAAGUCAUGCCUCAACAGAAUGAAAUAUUCUCUUUGGAAAAACUAAACUACUCUUUCUGGCAUAACCUUCUAUUUUUAGUGUUACCACCGUUACAUGGACAUCAUGUCUCAGUAACAGAGGUAUACUUAGAAGCAAUGUUAAGUUAAUGUCCAUUAAUGGCCAUUACACACCAAAUUCCACUUCAUGCCUUAGAAUAUUUGCACAAGAUCAAUUGAUUACACUAAAGAAAAACAUUUUGCAUGUCAUAUUCUUUGCAAAUAAAAGCAAAUUAAAUUAGAGUUUAAACAAGGAAAAAUGUACAAAAUUAUUGACAAAUUAUAUUUAAAAUCAUACUACGAUAAUCCUCAAGUUUCCACUUCCGUCUACCUCUGGAAACAUUUACGUUUCUGCCUAAAGGGAAAAAACAAAACAGUGCUAUCUUAUGAUCUCCAAUUCUUUUUACUUUAAAAUAACUCCUUCAAGAUAUUACUUUCAAAUGUACAUACCACCGUUACAUGGACAUCAUGUCUCAGUAACAGAGGUAUACUUUGAAGCAUUGCUAAGUUAAGGUCCAUUAAUGGCCAUUAAACACCAAAUUCCACUUCAUGCCUUAGAAUAUUUGCACAAGAUCAAUUGAUUAUACUAAAAAACAUUUUUCAUGUCAAAUUCUUUGCAAAUAAAAGCAAUUUAAAUUAGAGUUUACACAAGGAAAAAUGUACAAAAUUAUUGAUAAAUUUAUAUUUAAAAUAAUACUAAGGUAAUCCUCAAGGUUCCACUUCCGUCUAUCUCUGGAAACAAAUGUUUCUGUCUAAAGGGGAAAAAAACAAAAGAGUGCUAGCUUAUGAUCUCCAAAUCUUUAUUACUUUAAAAUAUCUCCUUCACGAUAUUACUUUCAAAUGUACAUACCUCCGUUACAUGGACAUCAUGUCCUUGUAAUGAUCAUAUUGAAUAGUAUUACAUGUACUUGCCAUUCUUUUAGUAUCAACACACUAAUGCGAGUUAACUCAUCUUACUCAAGUGUAGAAAUACAACAUCUACAGGCAAGCUUCUAAAAUGCAUCAAUGAACAGGUUACAAGUUUAUGAACUUCAAGAUGAUCGGUGACCCAAUGACAACUGUGUGGAAGAGGACUCUGUCAAUGUCACAAAAUAGAUAGAGGUAGAAUUGUGCCUCGCCAUCAGGCCAGGAGUACAGGUCACCAGAUUGACACUUCAUGUACUGAAGAUAUAUAUUUUUACCUUCAACAGAG